UACGUAGGGGGCAAGCGUUGUCCGGAUUUAUUGGGCGUAAAGAGCGUGUAGGCGGCCUGAAAGGUCAGCUGUGAAAACUCGAGGCUCAACCUCGAGACGUCGGUUGAAACCAUCUGGCUAGAGUCCGGAAGAGGAGUGUGGAAUUCCCGGUGUAGCGGUGAAAUGCGCAGAUAUCGGGAAGAACACCCGUGGCGAAGGCGGCACUCUGGGACGGUACUGACGCUGAGACGCGAAAGCGCGGGGAGCGAACGGG
rnacentral:rRNA from 1 species